AGCCGCAAUCAUGGCGCUGGAAGGGGAAAAUGUUAGAGAUUACAGUUUGACUGAGAAGCAGAAGGCGAUCAAGGCCAAGUAUCCUCCAGUCAAUCGGAAGUACGAGUAUUUGGAUCAUACAGCUGAUGUUCAGUUACACGCAUGGGGAGAUACUCUGGAGGAAGCAUUUGAGCAAUGUGCAAUGGCCAUGUUUGGUUAUAUGACAGAUACUGGGACAGUGGAGCCCCUCCAAGCAACAGAAGUAGAAACCCAAGGAGAUGACUUACAAUCUCUUCUGUUUCACUUUUUGAAUGAAUGGCUUUAUAAAUUCAGUGCUGAUGAAUUCUUCAUAGCCCGGGAAGUAAAAGUACUUAAUAUUGAUCAAAGAAAUUUCAAAUUACGGUCAAUUGGGUGGGGAGAAGAAUUCUCAUUGUCCAAGCACCCUCAGGGGGUGAUAAAAGAACAAGCUAAAGAUGACACCAUGCAUGUAGAAGCAAGCAGAGAAAUCCAGAGAUCUCAGUUCCAUUGUCACCACCUCAAGAGAAGCCUUCCUUGAUCACCUCACCAAAGCAGCACUCCCCAAUCCAGGGCAGAAAGGACACUUGUGCAGCUUGAUGGGCACCACCAGCACACCACCUGGGGAACCAAAUGGUACUGUGAGCAGCAACAACACUGGCCGCCCUCCGAUGGAUGGGAUCCAGAGCAGGGGAGUUCGACCAGCCCAGGUCGAGAAGAAGGACCCCAACUCCACCAGCAGCUAACAGCGAAACAGUGUCUGCAAAUUGCCACUCUGGCUCCCCGUCAGCCAGAGGAGAAGGUGGGCUUCUGAUAUAAGAUUGCAAGGAAUGCUGACAAUAAUGAUUGAGACCCUGUUCUAGACUGAAUUUCAUCCCCCUCAAAUUCAUACAUUGAAGCCAUAACCUCCAAUGUGACUAUAUGUGAAGACAGGGCCUUUAAGGAGGUAAUUAAGGUUAAAUGAGGUCGUAAGGGUAGAGCUCGAAUUUGGUAGGACUGAUGUCCUUAUAAGAAGAGGAAACUAUGCCAGAGAUGGCUUCCUCUCCCUACUCUUGUACGGAGGAAAGGUCAUGUGAGGACCAGCAAGAAGGCAGUCGUCUGCAAGCCAGAAAGAGAGCUCUCACCAGACACCAACCCUGCUGGCACCUUGAUCUUGGACUCUGCACCUCCAAAACUG